rnacentral:lncRNA from 1 species
CAGGACCCUAAGAUCCCAAUGACCACCCUCUCCUUGUGACAGAGUUACAGCUAUCCGGACCGGCUGGUGCUGGACCAGGGAGGAGAGAUCUUUAAAACCUUACACUACCUCAGCAACCUCAUCCAGAGCAUUAAGACGCCCCUGGGCACCAAAGAGAACCCCGCCCGGGUCUGCAGGGACCUCAUGGACUGUGAGCAGAAGAUGGUGGAUGGUACCUACUGGGUGGAUCCAAACCUUGGCUGCUCCUCUGACACCAUCGAGGUCUCCUGCAACUUCACUCAUGGUGGACAGACGUGUCUCAAGCCCAUCACGGCCUCCAAGGUACCCAUCAG